UGCGUUAACGAACGAGACCUCGACCUGCUAAAUAGUUCGACAAAGGUUCGCCUUUGUACGUGACUUCUUAGAGGGACUAUCGGUGUGUAGCCGACGGAAGUUCGAGGCAAUAACAGGUCUGUGAUGCCCUUCGAUGUUCUGGGCCGCACGCGCGCUCCACUGAUGCAUGCAUCGAGUACACUUCUCCUUGACCGAUAGGUCUGGGUAAUCUUUGCAACCUGCAUCGUGCUGGGGAUAGAUCAUUGCAAUUAUUGAUCUUCAACGAGGAAUUCCUAGUAAACGCAAGUCAUUAACUUGCAUUGAUUACGUCCCUGCCCUUUGUACACACCGCCCGUCGCUAAUACCGAUUGAAUGGUUUA
rnacentral:rRNA from 1 species